AGCGAACGCUGGCGGCAGGCUUAACACAUGCAAGUCGAGCGGGCGUAGCAAUACGUCAGCGGCAGACGGGUGAGUAACGCGUGGGAACAUACCUUUUGGUUCGGAACAACACAGGGAAACUUGUGCUAAUACCGGAUAAGCCCUUACGGGGAAAGAUUUAUCGCCGAAAGAUUGGCCCGCGUCUGAUUAGCUAGUUGGUGAGGUAACGGCUCACCAAGGCGACGAUCAGUAGCNGGUCUGAGAGGACGAUCAGCCACAUUGGGACUGAGACACGGCCCAAACUCCUACGGGAGGCAGCAGUGGGGAAUAUUGGACAAUGGGCGCAAGCCUGAUCCAGCCAUGCCGCGUGAGUGAUGAAGGCCCUAGGGUUGUAAAGCUCUUUGUGCGGGAAGAUAAUGACGGUACGCAAGAAUAAGCCCCGGCUAACUUCGUGCCAGCAGCCGCUGUAAU
rnacentral:rRNA from 1 species